rnacentral:lncRNA from 1 species
GGGAAUACAAAUAUGGUCACUUGGUCUUCUUUCGACCGGCGGUAAAACAGAGACAAGCAAUUAGACAUGUAUAAGACUAUAAAUUAGAUAAUUAUAAUGAACAGAAAAAAAUACUGAUAAUUAAUUAUUAACAUUUAAAAGUAUAUUCCAGGUUUGUUUCACACUAUCUUUAGAAUUCACGACUUGUUGGAUAGUUCAGGUUUAUUUCAACAACUUUGAUCUGUAAGAUGAGUAUUUUUAGGGAUGUCUAAUAUGAUGUAAUAUUUGAGCGCCAUUGGCAUAAUCUUAUUUCCAAUAAAAUACUUACACAAGGUUCCCAAGCUACCCAUAUGUCCACAUUUACAGCAGCCUUAAUGUGAUAACAAGACCCUUCUUUUAGUUCAACCAUGUGUAGUCCUAUGCCUUGAGGGAUGUCAGAAAGGGUAAGGGUUUAAGGCGGUCCAUGGAUAGUUUCUCCACCGUAUUCCUUCCCUCAAAGCCGUCCAAUCCAGCACCUUGAAAUUUGCAAUCAAAUUCAAUUGGGUUAUAGGUUGUAGGGUCUUCCCUUACUUCACAAGUUUUGUCAUUUAACAUUUUCACAUCUGCAUCCACAUUAAUUACACUCAUUACAUCGAACAGCACAACAAGGGACAUGAAAGAGGC